UGUGACCACGUUUGAAAGAGGAACAAGGAGAUCCAGCAAACCCCUCAAGUCUGAGAUAAGGUACUGAAAAUUGAAAUCAGAUCACUAUGCUCAAAACCUUAACUCAGCAAAGCAGGCAAGUUUGACUGCAAGGCUCUGCAAAUCACUGCACAGGGGAAGGGAGCACGGCGUGUAAUGAAUGUUACAGUUGCUGGAAGAGGUCAGUGAGAUUCCUCUUUACCCAAGACCAGAGCGAGAACCCAACCCCAGCCCCACCUGUUCUUUUAACCCAGGGAAAGCACUUUCUCUUAGUGGGCCCUGGAAGCUUCACCCUCUUCCUUACAUCUGGUAUCUUGGAUCU